UGGGUAGCUUGCUCUACGAAUUAAGCUGCCGAACAAGUCCUCUCUCUCUCUCAAACACUUCAAAUAUCCAAAUAUCUUACUUCUUCUCUCCCUCACAAAUAGAAUCAUAUAUAUGAAGGAGAUUAUGCACAAAAUAUAGAGAAGUUAGACUGCAGUUAGAGAGAAAGAGAGAGAGAGAGAGAUAGGCUGGUGGUGCAUAUAAUGAGCUAGCAUAUGAAAUAAUAUUGCAGGUCUGGCCGGGUUAAGGUGCAUAGGAAUUAGAGUGAAUAGAGGGUUUAAGAGCAAGAGAAAGAAAGGCAGAAAGAAAGUGAAGGUUAUAAGAGAGAGGCUGAUGGAGUUCUGGGACAAGAUGGUCUUCCCUGUCCGCCGUGUCUGGCUUGCUGUCUCUACUCGUGUUAAGGCUCGCAAAAACGGUGCAGGACUUUUGAAGCUUCACGACGAUGUACAAACCUGUGGCUAUCAAGAUGUCCAAGUGAUGUGGCAGAUGUUGAGCAGAGAGGCUGAGCUGAUAAAUCACCACCAUGCAAAACGUAAACAUCGACGACCUUUCUGGAGAGUGUUUGAAUGGUCUAACAACCAUAGUACUAAAGCCUCCUCCUUCUCUGCAAAUCAUGCUUGAAAAUGAGAUAUAUAUAUCCAUCGACCAAAGCUAGCCAGUCAGACACUAUAAUUAUAUUAAUAAUAAUGCGUUGCUGCUGCUGUGCGAAUUGGCAUCAUAGUUUUACAGUCGAAUUGCCAAUAUUGCAACGGCGGCAUGGUACAGAACUGUUGCAGGUGUCAAACACAACAUCAAAUAUGUGUCUAGAUUUUACCUCUAUUCUGAGCUGACAUGGUCAUUUGUAAAUAUAAUAAUAUAUAGUUCUUCUAUCUAAAACCCAGAAAACACGGCAGAUCAAUCAAAACAGGGCCUUGAUCGCAGAGAGCU